CGACUCCAUGAAGCUGGAUUCGCUAGUAAUCGCGCAUCAGCCACGGCGCGGUGAAUACGUUCCCGGGCCUUGUACACACCGCCCGUCAAGCCAUGGAAGCCGGGAGUGCCUGAAGUGCGUGACCGCAAGGAGCGCCCUAAGGCAAUACCGGUGACUGGGGCUAAGUCGUAACAAGGUACC
rnacentral:rRNA from 1 species